AAUGAUCACGCAUACUUUUUCUUGUAGCUGAAACAACAGCCCCAUCUGUCUAUCCACUGGCUCCUGGAACUGCUCUCAAAAGUAACUCCAUGGUGACCCUGGGAUGCCUGGUCAAGGGCUAUUUCCCUGAGCCAGUCACCGUGACCUGGAACUCUGGAGCCCUGUCCAGCGGUGUGCACACCUUCCCAGCUGUCCUGCAGUCUGGGCUCUACACUCUCACCAGCUCAGUGACUGUACCCUCCAGCACCUGGCCCAGCCAGACCGUCACCUGCAACGUAGCCCACCCGGCCAGCAGCACCAAGGUGGACAAGAAAAUUGUGCCCAGAAACUGUGGAGGUGAUUGCAAGCCUUGUAUAUGUACAGGCUCAGAAGUAUCAUCUGUCUUCAUCUUCCCCCCAAAGCCCAAAGAUGUGCUCACCAUCACUCUGACUCCUAAGGUCACGUGUGUUGUGGUAGACAUUAGCCAGGACGAUCCCGAGGUCCAUUUCAGCUGGUUUGUAGAUGACGUGGAAGUCCACACAGCUCAGACUCGACCACCAGAGGAGCAGUUCAACAGCACUUUCCGCUCAGUCAGUGAACUCCCCAUCCUGCACCAGGACUGGCUCAAUGGCAGGACGUUCAGAUGCAAGGUCACCAGUGCAGCUUUCCCAUCCCCCAUCGAGAAAACCAUCUCCAAACCCGAAGGCAGAACACAAGUUCCGCAUGUAUACACCAUGUCACCUACCAAGGAAGAGAUGACCCAGAAUGAAGUCAGUAUCACCUGCAUGGUAAAAGGCUUCUAUCCCCCAGACAUUUAUGUGGAGUGGCAGAUGAACGGGCAGCCACAGGAAAACUACAAGAACACUCCACCUACGAUGGACACAGAUGGGAGUUACUUCCUCUACAGCAAGCUCAAUGUGAAGAAGGAAAAAUGGCAGCAGGGAAACACGUUCACGUGUUCUGUGCUGCAUGAAGGCCUGCACAACCACCAUACUGAGAAGAGUCUCUCCCACUCUCCGGGGAUGGAAGUGGACGAUGCCUGUGCUGAGGCCCAGGACGGGGAGCUGGACGGGCUCUGGACAACCAUCACCAUCUUCAUCAGCCUCUUCCUGCUCAGCGUGUGCUACAGUGCAGCUGUCACACUCUUCAAGGUAAAGUGGAUCUUCUCCUCAGUGGUAGGGUUGAAGCAGACGCUGGUUCCUGAAUACAAGAACAUGAUUGGACAAGGGCCCUAAGCCACCUCCUAUAAU